AUGCUUUUGUGGUUCAAAAGAAUAAUGAUGGGGUGUUUACGCAGCUGUGUGACAUGUGCCUACUUCAAACCUUGUUAAAACAUCAAGACAUUACUCAUCUGACA